rnacentral:rRNA from 1 species
GACGAACGCUGGCGGCGUGCUUAACACAUGCAAUUCGAACGGAAAUGCCCUGCUUUUGUGGGGUGCUCGAGUGGCGAACUGGUUAGUAACACGUUAGUAACCUUCCCUUGACUUUGUGAUAACUUCAUGAAACUUGGGCUAAUACCGGAUAGGAGCUCCUGCUGCAUGGUGGGGGUUGGAAAGUUUCGGCGGUUGGGUAUGGACUCGCGGCUUAUCAGCUUGUUGGUGGGGUAGUGUCUUACCAAGGCUUUGACGGGUAGACGGCCUGAGAGGGUUACCGGCAACAUUGGGACUGAGAUACGGCACAGACUCCUACGGAAGGAAGCAGUGGGGAAUAUUGGACAAUGGGCGGAAGCAUGAUGCAGCAAGGACGUGGGCGGGAUGACGGCCUUCGGGUUGUAAACCGCUUUUGGCUGUGACGAAGCGUGAGUGACGGUAAUGGGUAAAGAAGCACCGGCUAACUACGUG